CACGUAGGGGGCAAGCGUUGUCCGGAUUUAUUGGGCGUAAAGAGCUCGUAGGCGGUUCGGUAAGUCGGGUGUGAAACCUCCAGGCUCAACCUGGAGAGGCCACCUGAUACUGCUGUGACUCGAGUCCGGUAGGGGAGCGUGGAAUUCCUGGUGUAGCGGUGAAAUGCGCAGAUAUCAGGAGGAACACCAGCGGCGAAGGCGGCGCUCUGGGCCGGAACUGACGCUGAGGAGCGAAAGCGUGGGGAGCAAACAGG
rnacentral:rRNA from 1 species